UACAGAGGUCUCAAGCGUUGUUCGGAUUCAUUGGGCGUAAAGGGUGCGUAGGUGGCGCCGUAAGUCAGGUGUGAAAUCUCGGGGCUCAACCCCGAAACUGCACUUGAUACUGCGGUGCUCGAGUACUGGAGAGGAGAUUGGAAUUGACGGUGUAGCAGUGAAAUGCGUAGAUAUCGGAAGGAAGACCAGUGGCGAAGGCGAAUCUCUGGACAGUUACUGACACUGAGGCACGAAGGCCAGGGGAGCAAACGGG
rnacentral:rRNA from 1 species